UUGAAUUAUAGGAUGCUUUGCAUUCAGGAGCACAGAGGUGUUUGUUUUGGAGACAUUUCUGUCACGAGGUUCAUCAAGUUUUCCGUAAGCAGGAGGCCCUCAAUUAUCUGAAUGGGAUGGACUGGCAUUAUUUCGUUCGGAUAAUCGAUUAUUCGGUUAAUCGAUUAAAUGCCUGUCCUCUGGGGCUCGGAGUUUUUGAAGUCUGCUCCCCAUUCAGGAGACUGCAGCAGCACACCGGGCGAGACACCGCUCCACCCCACUAUCCCUAACCCCUCAAACACUGCCCCAUCACCUCCCCCCAACUCCGUACACACCUGCCCCCUCCUCAGGGCAGCCGGACUGUACACCGACAAGACUGCGCUGCACCUUUGUGGGGGAAACACUCGCGCCUGAUGGGUCCAAAAGUAGUCAUUUGAUCCAAAGAAAUGAACCGGAAAUUCGCCAAUCUCAUGCUUCAUAUUUUGAAUAUUUGUCGGAAUGUUUCUUGGGUGACAAAUCUCUGCUGGCCACCACCUGUGUUUGAACAAAAAUAAAAUGAGGUUAUAGCAACAAGUAAUUUCAGUGUCAUGAAAAAUGAAUGUGGGCAUCACCAGAUAAGCCAGCAUUUAUUGCUCAUUCACAAUUGCCCUUGAACUGAGGGGCUUGCUGGACCAUUUCAGACAGCAAUUAAGAGUCAACCAUAUCGCAGUGAGCCUGGAGUAACAUGUAGGCUAGACUGGGUCAGAAUGGCAGAUUUCCUUCCCUGAAGGACAUGAGUGAACUAGGUGAGGUUUUUAUAGGAAUUGAUGAUAGCUUUGUGGUUACCAAUACUGAGAUUAGAUUUCAAUUCCAGGAUGACUGAUUGGUAUUUACUAAUUCAAACAAACAAACGCAAUUAAACAGGAUAAUACACCACAGCAACAAAUGCUGUAUGCUACUGCUGUACUGGCAAGGCCAUCAACAAGCUGCCACUCCAAUAUCCUAAUUUCACUGUGGUUUGGAUGACCACAAAGUCUGGAUUGAACGUAAGCCAUUUCAGUUCAGUAGUUUCACUCCCAGGUGUUGGGAUGGGGUCACGGUGAGGUCCCAAUGAAAGAAAACAUUUUUCUACAAUUCUCGGUGUUCAAAUGUUUGUCAGAAACCUCUGGACCCAGAAAAUUUAGUUAAACAAUUCACAACAAUAGUUUCCUCCAAUAUAUCACAUGA